CCUACGGGGGGCAGCAGUGGGGAAUAUUGGACAAUGGGGGGAACCCUGAUCCAGCCAUGCCGCGUGUGUGAAGAAGGCCCUCGGGGUGUAAAGCACUUUCAGUGAGGAAGAACGCCUGGUGGUUAAUACCCAUCAGGAAAGACAUCACUCACAGAAGAAGCACCGGCUAACUCCGUGCCAGCAGCCGCGGUAAUACGGAGGGUGCGAGCGUUAAUCGGAAUUACUGGGCGUAAAGCGCGCGUAGGUGGCUUGAUAAGCCGGUUGUGAAAGCCCCGGGCUCAACCUGGGAACGGCAUCCGGAACUGUCAAGCUAGAGUGCAGGAGAGGAAGGUAGAAUUCCCGGUGUAGCGGUGAAAUGCGUAGAGAUCGGGAGGAAUACCAGUGGCGAAGGCGGCCUUCUGGACUGACACUGACACUGAGGUGCGAAAGCGUGGGUAGCAAACAGGAUUAGAUACCCUUGUAGUC
rnacentral:rRNA from 1 species